rnacentral:rRNA from 1 species
GACGUAGGGCGCGAGCGUUUGUCCGGAUUUAUUGGGCGUAAAGAGCUUGUAGGCGGUUUUGUCGCGUCUGCUGUGAAAAUCCGGGGCUCAACCCCGGACUUGCAGUGGGUACGGGCAGACUAGAGUGUGGUAGGGGAGACUGGAAUUCCUGGUGUAGCGGUGGAAUGCGCAGAUAUCAGGAGGAACACCGAUGGCGAAGGCAGGUCACUGGGC